rnacentral:misc_RNA from 1 species
AACAAGGCGUACCUGCGGACCUGCGGAAGGAUCAUUACAGAGUUGCAAAACUCCCUAAACCAUUGUGAACGUUACCUAAACCGUUGCUUCGGCGGGCGGCCCGGGUCCUUCCCGGCGCCCCUCGGCCCUCGCGGGCGCCCGCCGGAGGUAAACCAAACUAUUGCAUUGUAUGGCCUCUCUGAGUCUUCUGUACUGAAUAAGUCAAAACUUUCAACAAUGGAUCUCAGAUCGGAAGAGCAC